rnacentral:piRNA from 1 species
ACUGGGAAUAGUCCCAUUGGUGAUCUAAGGU